rnacentral:tRNA from 1 species
CGCGGGGUGGAGCAGUCUGGUAGCUCGUUGGGCUCAUAACCCAAAGGUCGUAGGUUCGAAUCCUGCCCCCGCUA